GAUGAACGCUGGCGGCGUGCCUAAUACAUGCAAGUCGAGCGAACAGAUCAGGAGCUUGCUCCUCUGACGUUAGCGGCGGACGGGUGAGUAACACGUGGACAACCUACCUAUAAGACUGGGAUAACUUCGGGAAACCGGAGCUAAUACCGGAUAAUAUAUUGAACUGCAUGGUUCAAUAGUUAAAGACGGUUUUGCUGUCACUAAUAGAUGGAUCAGCGCCGCAUUAGUUAGUUGGUGAGGUAACGGCUUACCAAGGCGACGAUGCGUAGCCGACCUGAGAGCGUGGUCGGCCACACGGGAACUGAGGCUCGGUCCAGACUCCUACGGUAGGCAGCAGUCGGGACUCUUCCGCGAUGGGCGAGUGCCGGAUGGAGCACCACCGCGUGAGGGAUGAAGGACUUCGGAUCGUAGAGCUCUGUUAUUAGGAGGGAACUAAUGUGUAAGUAACUAUGCACAUCUUGACAGUACCUAAUCAGAAAGCCACGGCUAACUCCGUG
rnacentral:rRNA from 1 species